CCUACGGGAGGCAGCAGUGAGGAAUCUUGGUCAAUGGGCGGAAGCCUGAACCAGCCAAGUAGCGUGCAGGAUGACGGCCCUACGGGUUGUCAACUGCUUUUAUCCGGGAAUAACGCGCCUUACGUGUAGGGCUUUGCAUGUACCGUAUGAAUAAGGACCGGCUAAUUCCGUUCCAGCCGCCGCGGUAAUACGGAAGGUCCGGGCGUUGUCCGGAUUUAUUUGGUUUAAGGGGAACGUAGGUCGCAUGUCAAGCGUGCUGUGAAAUGUCCGGGCUCAACCCGGGCCUUGCAGCGCGAACUGGCGUGCUUGAGUCCGCGGAAAGCAGGCGGAAUUCGUCGUGUAGCGGUGAAAUGCUUAGAUAUGACGAAGAACCACGAUUGCGAAGGCAGCUUGCUGCAGCGGAACUGACGCUGAUGCUCGAAAGCGCGGGUAUCGAACAGGAUUAGAUACCCCAGUAGUC
rnacentral:rRNA from 1 species